rnacentral:rRNA from 1 species
UACGUAGGGUGCAAGCGUUGUCCGGAAUUAUUGGGCGUAAAGAGCGUGUAGGCGGCCCGAUUAGUCCGCUGUGAAAGUCCAGGGCUCAACCCUGGAAUGCCGGUGGAUACUGUCGGGCUAGAGUCCGGAAGGGGCGAGUGGAAUUCCCGGUGUAGCGGUGAAAUGCGCAGAUAUCGGGAGGAACACCAAUUGCGAAGGCAGCUCGCUGGGACGUUACUGACGCUGAGACGCGAAAGCGUGGGGAGCAAACAGG